rnacentral:rRNA from 1 species
CCUACGGGUGGCAGCAGUGGGGAAUAUUGGACAAUGGGCGAAAGCCUGAUCCAGCCAUGCCGCGUGUGUGAAGAAGGCCUUCGGGUUGUAAAGCACUUUCAGUGGGGAAGAAAGCCUUGGGGCUAAUACCCUCGAGGAAGGACAUCACCCACAGAAGAAGCACCGGCUAACUCCGUGCCAGCAGCCGCGGUAAUACGGAGGGUGCGAGCGUUAAUCGGAAUUACUGGGCGUAAAGCGCGCGUAGGCGGUCUGAUAAGCCGGUUGUGAAAGCCCCGGGCUCAACCUGGGAACGGCAUCCGGAACUGACAGGCUAGAGUGCAGGAGAGGAAGGUAGAAUUCCCGGUGUAGCGGUGAAAUGCGUAGAGAUCGGGAGGAAUACCAGUGGCGAAGGCGGCCUUCUGGACUGACACUGACGCUGAGGUGCGAAAGCGUGGGUAGCAAACAGGAUUAGAUACCCGAGUAGUC